rnacentral:rRNA from 1 species
AACGAACGCUGGCGGCAUGCCUAACACAUGCAAGUCGAACGGUAGAGGGGGCAACCCCUCGAGAGUGGCGAACGGGUGAGUAAUAUAUCGGAACGUGCCCAGUCGUGGGGGAUAACGUAGCGAAAGUUACGCUAAUACCGCAUACGAUCUAAGGAUGAAAGCGGGGGAUCGCAAGACCUCGCGCGAUUGGAGCGGCCGAUAUCAGAUUAGGUAGUUGGUGGGGUAAAGGCUCACCAAGCCAACGAUCUGUAGCUGGUCUGAGAGGACGACCAGCCACACUGGAACUGAGACACGGUCCAGACUCCUACGGGAGGCAGCAGUGGGGAAUUUUGGACAAUGGACGCAAGUCUGAUCCAGCCAUUCCGCGUGCAGGAUGAAGGCCCUCGGGUUGUAAACUGCUUUUGUACGGAACGAAAAGGUCUCUCUUAAUACGGGGGACUCAUGACGGUACCGUAAGAAUAAGCACCGGCUAACUACGUGCCAGCCGCCGCGGUAA